GAAAUAUCUAUAAAAAGCUUCUAACUUUUUCAAAAGCAACAAAAUUGUUUAUAUUUCU
rnacentral:tRNA from 1 species